AUUGAACGCUGGCGGCAUGCCUUACACAUGCAAGUCGAACGGUAACAGGUCUUCGGAUGCUGACGAGUGGCGAACGGGUGAGUAAUACAUCGGAACGUGCCUAGUAGUGGGGGAUAACUACUCGAAAGAGUGGCUAAUACCGCAUGAGAUCUACGGAUGAAAGCAGGGGGUCGCAAGACCUUGUGCUACUAGAGCGGCCGAUGGCAGAUUAGGUAGUUGGUGGGAUAAAAGCUUACCAAGCCGACGAUCUGUAGCUGGUCUGAGAGGACGAUCAGCCACACUGGGACUGAGACACGGCCCAGACUCCUACGGGAGGCAGCAGUGGGGAAUUUUGGACAAUGGGCGAAAGCCUGAUCCAGCAAUGCCGCGUGCAGGAUGAAGGCCUUCGGGUUGUAAACUGCUUUUGUACGGAACGAAAAGCCCCGGGUUAAUACCCUGGGGUCAUGACGGUACCGUAAGAAUAAGCACCGGCCAACUACGUGCCAGCCGCCGCGGUAA
rnacentral:rRNA from 1 species